AGGAAAAGAAACUAACAAGGAUUCCCCUAGUAACUGCGAGUGAAGCGGGAAAAGCUCAAAUUUAAAAUCUGGCGGUCUCUGGCCGUCCGAGUUGUAAUCUAGAGAAGUAAUGCCCGUGCUGGACCGUGUAUAAGUCUCCUGGGAUGGGGCGUCAUAGAGGGUGAGAAUCCCGUCUUUGACACGGACUACCAGUGCAUUGUGGUAUGCUCUCAAAGAGUCGAGUUGUUUGGGAAUGCAGCUCAAAAUGGGUGGUAAAUUCCAUCUAAAGCUAAAUAUUGGCGAGAGACCGAUAGCGAACAAGUACCGUGAGGGAAAGAUGAAAAGAACUUUGGAAAGAGAGUUAAACAGUACGUGAAAUUGCUGAAAGGGAAACGCUUGAAGUCAGUCGCGUUGGCCAGGGAUCAGCCUUGCUUUUGCAUGGUGUACUUUCUGGUUGAUGGGUCAGCAUCAAUUUUGACCGCUGGAAAAAGACCUGGGGAAUGUGGCAGCUUCGGCUGUGUUAUAGCCCCUAGUCGCAUACAGUGGUUGGGAUUGAGGAACUCAGCACGCCGCAAGGCCGGGUUUCGACCACGUUCGUGCUUAGGAUGCUGGCAUAAUGGCUUUAAGCGACCCGUCUUGAAACACGGACCAAGGAGUCUAACAUGCCUGCGAGUAUUUGGGUGGAAAACCCAAGUGCGUAAUGAAAGUGAAAGUUGAGAUCCCUGUCGUGGGGAGCAUCGACGCCCGGACCAGAACUUUUGGGACGGAUCCGCGGUGGAGCAUGUAUGUUGGGACCCGAAAGAUGGUGAACUAUGCCUGAAUAGGGUGAAGCCAGAGGAAACUCUGGUGGAGGCUCGUAGCGAUUCUGACGUGCAAAUCGAUCGUCAAAUUUGGGUAUAGGGGCGAAAGACU
rnacentral:rRNA from 1 species